AGUUUAAUCAACAGGUGAAAUAAAAUGUCAUGAAGCAGAAAUCACCAUCAGCAUUGCUGUGUGGGGAAAAGAAGAGGCAAUCAGGAGUUCUCUCCAGGCACUCUUGUGAGUUACAUAAGGGCUUCCUGUUGAAACCAUUUCUUGGCCCCGGGGCUUCUGUGAAGCCGGCGAGCUAUCCUGUAAGCUGGCACGAUGCCACUGUAACAGAUGGCCAGCAGUGCAGGCAGCAGAGACCAUGGAGGAGCAUCGCAAGUGAAUGCUGAGGGAAACCGAGAAGGAAAACAAUCAGCUCUGUUCUUCUCUCUGAGCUGGGGGAGUGAGCUAUAAUAAGGGAGCACAAGAAUACGUCCAGACCCAGCAAGCCUGAACACACAGGUUAGCACGCCUGGCUGACCUAACUCGCAGGUAUAUACCUUACCACUGGACCGCCAGAAAAAUCCUGAGCAGAAUCUCUUUUACUUUAAAAUCUGCAUUCCUGGGUUAGCUAGUUUUAGAGAAGGGAGACGCGGGUUCAAUCCCUGGAUCAGGAGGAUCCCUUGGAGAAGUAAAGGCAACCCACUCCAGUAUCCUUGCCUGGGGAAUCUCAUGGACAGAGGAACCUGUGUGGUGGGAUGGCUAGAUGUUGGAGGAUCCUUCCUGCUAUUCUAAGAAGAUUGGGCAUCAUGCUGGGCAAAGGAAAUUAACAAGGCAUGCGGGGUCUUUGCUCCCCCAGCAGGGAUGGAACCUGUACCCCUCUGCACCGCCGCGUUGUAAGCAAGCGUGUCUACAUGCUCAGUUGUGUCCAACUCUUUGCGACCCGAUGGACUGUAGCCCUCCAGGCUCCUCCGUCUGUGGGAUUUUUCCAGACAAGAAUACUGGACAGACUCUGGGGUGGUUCUCAGAAGUAAGAGGUCAAGCUAAAGAUUUUGGAGUCUUCUUCCAACUCUGGAUAAUUGAAACCAAAAAAGGAACACACUUACAAAACUUGAAAAAAUAUUCAUUAUAUCAAAAUGGAAAUUAUUUUCGUAUUUCUUCAAAAUGUGUAUGGCUUACAAGUUUUUACAUUUCUUUCUUUUGAGGUUUUUUUAAAAAUUUUUUAAUUUAGCUAGUGAUGUGUAGUUAUCUUUGCUUCCCUCCUUUUUAUUAUUAUGCUUUUUUUUGCAUUAAAGUUACCUCUGGAGUGUAAAGCAAGUGUUUGCUUCCUGCUUUGGAAACUUUCUGUGGUUAUUCAGAUUGGCACCACGUCACUGCCAGGUUAAUAGAGCUUCUUUAAAUAUAGCCAUAUAUUAUUAAAGCUGUGACAAAUACACUGGAGUUUUAUCACUUGUGAUGAAUCUUUCAUUUCCUUGAGAUCAAUUCUAAUUCUGGAAAUGAAGUGCUCACCCAAGAAAGAAACAUGACAUCUUUCUGAACCUCAAAAAAAAAAAAAGGAAACAAUUUUGUUCCAUAAAAGAGGAAAUCUUUGCCGUCCUGAUUUCCUAAAGGCUUUCUAGUCAUCAUAGGACUAAAGAGCUAUAU
ensembl:lncRNA